GCAUCUCCCAAGCACGCUGCCCCCUCCGCGUCCCACAGGAAUAUUUCCUGCCCUGCCAGAGGGCGCGGCGACGGGGCCUGAGGCCCGCAGGGGAGCCCGGUCCGCGUCACCCCAGUCCUGCCCCCGGGUGGGCACACUUCACUCACCCACAGUCCCCUUCCUUUCUCCCGGGCAGGUGAGAAUGUCUCCUACGCGAACCUGGACGACAAGGAGCCGAAACCCCCCUCGCUGGACGAGCAGAAGGCCGACUACGACUAUGUCAACGUGCCGUAGCUGCGUGGGGCCAGGGACCAGCCGCCUCUGUCUCUGCCCCCUGGCGGGUCCCUCCGUGGGGCCCUGGCUGCGGGCGGGGGCUCUCGGAGAGCCCCAGAUAAGGAGACGUGGCCCUCGUUGCCCUGCUAGCCUGAUUCUGGGCUCCCCAGCGGGGCCGAGUACCCUGCCCCACAGCACAGGGGCUGGGCUCUCUAAUCUGAACAGCAGGUCUGGCUUGGCCGGUGCGGCCCGGUCCGGAAGGGGAGCUGCGGAGGGAUCGGCCCAGCCCUGUGCGGGAGGGGACGGUGCUGUGGGACGGGGGCAGGCACUGCCCUGUUGUCUUCCCCACACCUCCCCCGGCCGGGACAAACGCACCCGCAGCCUCCCCCAUUGUUUAGGGGCUUGUAAAUAUUUGUGAGUGUGAACCUUCCUGGUGAACCCGGGGACGUCACAGCCCCACAUCCACCACCGUGCCGGGGCCCCGGUCUCUGUCCACACCUGGGAUCAUGGUGUGGGCAUAAAACCGUCCCAAUAAACCGGGAACUUUCCCCUAAACCUC